rnacentral:sRNA from 1 species
AACGAACGCUGGCGGCAUGCCUCAUACAUGCAAGUCGAACGAGACCUUCGGAUCUAGUGGCGCACGGGUGAGUAACAUGUGGGAAUCUACCUGAAGGUUCGGAAUAACUGCGGGAAACUGUAGCUAAUACCGGAUGUGUCUGCAAAGAGAAAGAUUUAUCGCCUUCAGAUGAGCCCGCACUAGAUUAGCUAGUUGGUGAGGUAAUUGCUCCACCAAGGCUACGAUCUAUAGCUGAUUUGANAGGAUGAUCAGCCACACUGGGACUGAGACACGGCCCAGACUCCUACGGGAGGCAGCAGUAGGGAAUAUNGGACAAUGGGGGAAACCCUGAUCCAGCAAUGCCGCGUGAGUGAAGAAGGCCUUCGGGUUGUAAAACUCUUUCAUCAAUGAUGAUAAUGACAUUAGUUGAAGAAGAAGCCCCGGCUAACUUCGUGCCAGCAGCCGCGGUAAUACGAAGGGGGCUAGCGUUGUUCGGAAUCACUGGGCGUAAAGCGUAUGUAGGCGGAUCAAAAAGUUAGAUGUGAAAUCCCUGGGCUCAACCCAGGAACUGCAUUUAAAACUAGUGAUCUAGAAUUUGGUAGGGGUUAGUAGAAUUUCCAGUGUAGAGGUGAAAUUCGUAGAUAUUGGAAAGGAUACCAGUGGCGAAGGCGACUAACUGGGCCAUUUUUGACGCUGAGAUACGAAAGCGUGGGUAGCAAACAGGAUUAGAUACCCUGGUAGUCCACGCAGUAAACGAUGAGUGCUAGUCGCUGGGACAAUAGUUUCAGUGUCGAAGCUAACGCAUUAAGCACUCCGCCUGGGAAGUACGGUCGCAAGAUUAAAACUCAAAUAAAUUGACGGGGGCCCGCACAAGCGGUGGAGCAUGUGGUUUAAUUCGAAGCAACGCGAAGAACCUUACCAGACCUUGACAUGGUGUGUAUGAAUUACAGAAUCGUAAUUCUUCAGUUCGGCUGGCACACACACAGGUGCUGCAUGGCUGUCGUCAGCUCGUGUCGUGAGAUGUUGGGUUAAGUCCCGCAACGAGCGCAACCCUCAUUUUUAGUUGCCAUCAGGUAAUGCUGGGCACUCUAGAAAAACUGCCGGUGAUAAGCUGGAGGAAGGCGGGGAUGACGUCAAGUCCUCAUGGCCCUUACGGUCUGGGCUACACACGUGCUACAAUGGUGGUGACAGUGGGUAGCAAUACUGCAAAGUAAAGCUAAUCCCAAAAAACCAUCUCAGUUCGGAUUGGACUCUGCAACUCGAGUCCAUGAAGUUGGAAUCGCUAGUAAUCGUAGAUCAGCGUGCUACGGUGAAUACGUUCUCGGGCCUUGUACACACCGCCCGUCACGCCAUGGGAGUUGGUUUUACCUUAAGCCGGUGCGCUAACCGCAAGGAAGCAGCCGUCCACGGUAGGGUCAGCGACUGGGGCGAAGUCGUAACAAGGUAACCGUAGGGGAACCUGCGGUUGGAUCACCUCCUUUCUAAGGAUAUUGAUGGUUGCUUUGGCAAUCAUCCGGGUUGUUGUCUAUUUAUCUCUUUAUAAUAUUAGCUAGUGCUAGGUGUUUCCUUAAUCAAACUGGGCCGGUAGCUCAGUUGGUUAGAGCGCGCGCUUGAUAAGCGUGAGGUCGGAAGUUCAAGUCUUCCUCGGCCCACCAUUAAAACGGGGGGAUUAGCUCAGCUGGGAGAGCGCCUGAUUUGCAUUCAGGAGGUCAGCGGUUCGAUCCCGCUAUCCUCCACCAAACCUCUAAUAUUAUAUCUUACUUGUUCUUUAAUAUUGUAAAUAUGAAAUUAAUAACUGAUCAAAAAUAAUUUUAUUAUUGAUUAAGAUACGUACAAAAUUUUUCUCUGUACGUAAUUGCAAUCAAGCGCAAAAGGGCAUUUAGUGGAUGUCUUGGCAUUAAGAGACGAUGAAGGACGUGGCAGGCUGCGAUAAGCUAAGGGGAGUUGUCAACAAACUUUGAUCCUUAGAUAU